GCUGAGCAAUUUAUGUCAAGAGAUCCAAUGCUCAAGAGAUCUAACUGCACUUCAGUGCAAGCUAGUAUUUCAUUGCUUUUUCAGAUGAGCCCAGGAUCAGCAGGGGAUCCCUUUCUCUCUCUUACAAUCAUAGAAUCAUUCUGCAGGAGCACUGAGCAUAUUUAUCUCCCACUAAAAGCAAUGGGAAAGUAGAUGUAGUUUGACACCUCAUAUGCAUGAGCCUGAUACAACUUUGCUGGCUCAGCAAAUCCCUGCCAUCUCAAUUCAGUAGCUGCACGAGCUUUGCAGCUGGUGUCUCUUUUAAGAUAUUAUUCUGGAGCUUGCAUACGCUGUGAUCAAUCUUCUGACUCCAAUUUUACAUUUAUGACCAUUAAAACAGAACCAGACUAAAAAAAUAUCUUUAUAAUAUGGUAGCUGUUGAUAAAACCUCCACAGACUGCCAGAUUGCACUGGCAGGAAGAGCUUCACUGAAGACAGAAAUAUUUCCAAACAGCUCCAGUUAUGCAGAUGGUUCUGCUAUUGGGCCUCUUUUCAAUUCUGUUCUUAGGAAAAUUAAUCCUCUUGAACAAGAACUCCAAAAUGUGCAACAUUUAGCUGCAGUUAAGAGCAACAGAGCACAUUACUCUGGAUUUAUCAGGCUCUGUCUUGGUUGUUUUAGAUUUUAAUGUGUUUUUGUCUUUGUAGUUGCAAAAUUAUUUAAGAAAGUGCUGCUGUGCUUGCAGCUUGCUUUACAUUCAGAUGUCCUAACUUGUUCUAUCUCAUCCUGGUCACAGUGGGAAAAUUACUAGGUGCUCAUUGCCUGCUGUGUUGUUCAGGGCUUGUACUGGUAAAUCAUCUAUUUUUAAGGUGUUUUUUUUUUACUUAAACUUUGCUUAGAUUUGUGUGUGUGGCAUCAGCCUAAAAGAAAAUGUUCCAUAAACAUGAAAGAACAGAUGAAUGAAUCACUCUAUGAAUAUUUUGGGCAAAUAAGGAAAAGGUAUUAUCAGUAAAGUUGAGAAGAAUAAAAAGCAAUCCCUGGUGAACCAUGGCUUGGGGAAAUAUUGUACUCUUCAGGUACAGAUGUUGGCAUAAUGAUGAUUUGCUGCAAUGAAACAUGGAAAGGAAGAACACAAGACAUAAGACCAGAGAAAAGGGUAAAUACUAGGAGGUUGGUGCACAAUAAUCAUAUUUUGUUGCAUUAUUAAUAGGAAUUAUGAAAAGAGAAAGAAAAGGUCAUUUUGACAGUGUUAGAAUCACUGUAACUGAACUAGAAAUAACUGCUUGCAUUUUGACAAGGAUGUCAGAAGGCUGAAUGGAACAGUAAUCACAGCAAAUUAACUGAAUUAUCCUUGUCUUCUCAGUAGCCUAUCACAAAACUGUGCUCAUAGAGAACAGGGCAUCAGGAUGAGCAGGAGGGCACCCAAUGAAGUCUGUAUGGAGUUUAUAAGCUCAGGCUUCACAGAGUGCUCGGAUGUGUGAAAAGAGAGUAAUUCAUCAGGGACAUCCAGCAAACUCAAAGUGAGCCAGAGCCCUUUUUCUUACACAAUCUGUCCCUAGAGAAGUGGGAAAUACCUCUGAGGUGAGUGUUGCUUUAUGGUCUAUUUCUGCAGCUUAUAUUUAAAAUUGGCCUACAAAUAAUGCAACUGGUGUAGCAAAGGAGGAGUAUUUUACAUAUGAAAUAACUCAAGCUCUCCAGAUGAACUUUACUUACCAGUGAACAUGACAGAGGAAGUUCCCCUUUCUAUGAUUCUGAUGACAUAAGCAUUUUCUCCUUUGGCUUUCUGAAUUUUUUUGGCAUACAUUUUAGAGUAGAUUUACAAUAGCAGAGCUAUGUUACAACUAUUCUAAUGGCUUGGGAUUUGUUGGAUUAGGGGAAAGGAUGCUAAACCAAAGGAUAAAACAUGAUAGAUAGACAGCCUUCCCAAGUGUGCCAAGAUACUUUAUUGUCACAAUUGGUCAGAGAGCAUGCUUUAUGAGCCCACAGAGUGCUGAAUAUUGUGCAAGACAUAUCUGGCAGCAGAGCAACAGCUCACUGAAACUAACAGAUCACAGUUCAGCUCCAACAAUUGACCUCUACGCUUCAGGCCAAAGGGACUGAGAUCAGUUUCUCCCAAAUUUUACAUUAAAAUAUUACAGAAUAGCAGAAUCGUUAAGGUUGGA
ensembl:lncRNA